rnacentral:tRNA from 1 species
GCCCCCUUCGUCUAGUGGACCAGGAUGCUCGCCUUUCAAGCGGGACGGCGCCGGUUCGAAUCCGGCAGGGGGUA